GAAGGAACUUACCUGGUCUUGACAUCCACAGAACUUUCCAGAGAUGGAUUGGUGCCUUCGGGAACUGUGAGACAGGUGCUGCAUGGCUGUCGUCAGCUCGUGUUGUGAAAUGUUGGGUUAAGUCCCGCAACGAGCGCAACCCUUAUCCUUUGUUGCCAGCGGUUAGGCCGGGAACUCAAAGGAGACUGCCAGUGAUAAACUGGAGGAAGGUGGGGAUGACGUCAAGUCAUCAUGGCCCUUACGACCAGGGCUACACACGUGCUACAAUGGCAUAUACAAAGAGAAGCGACCUCGCGAGAGCAAGCGGACCUCAUAAAGUAUGUCGUAGUCCGGAUUGGAGUCUGCAACUCGACUCCAUGAAGUCGGAAUCGCUAGUAAUCGUAGAUCCAG
rnacentral:rRNA from 1 species